rnacentral:rRNA from 1 species
UUACAAUGGCAGGUACAGAGGGAUGCUACCGGGCGACCGGAUGCGGAUCUCGAAAGCCUGUCCCAGUUCGGACUGGAGUCUGCAACCCGACUCCACGAAGUUGGAUUCGCUAGUAAUCGCGCAUCAGCCAUGGCGCGGUGAAUACGUUCCCGGGCCUUGUACACACCGCCCGUCAAGCCAUGGGAGCCGGGGGCGCCUGAAGUCCGGGACCGCGAGGACCGGCCUAGGGCGAAACUGGUAACUGGGGCUAAGUCGUAACAAGGUACC